GACAGAGGGGGCAAGCGUUGUCCGGAUUGACUGGGCGUACAGCGCGCGCAGGCGGGCGCGUAUGUGCCGUGUGACAGUCGGGAGCUCAACUCCCGCCGGCCACGGUAGACAGCGCGUCUAGAGGCAGGGAGAGGGAAGUGGAAUACCCGGAGGAGCGGUGAAAUGCGUAGAGAUCGGGUGGAACACCAGGGGCGCAGGCGACUUCCUGGCCCUGCCCUGACGCUGAGGCGCGAGAGCGUGGGGAGCGAACGGG
rnacentral:rRNA from 1 species